AACGAACGUUAGCGGCGCGCUUAACACAUGCAAGUCGAGCGAGAAAGGGGCAACCCCGGUAAAGCGGCGCACGGGUGAGUAACACGUAGGUAAUCAACCCCCAGGUGGUGGAUAACCUUCCGAAAGGAGGGCUAAUACAGCAUGAGACCACGGUCCCGCAAGGGAUUGAGGUCAAAGCCGGCCUCUUCAUGAAAGCUGGCGCCAGGGGACGAGCCUGCGGCCCAUCAGCUAGUUGGUAGGGAAUGGCCUACCAAGGCGAAGACGGGUAGCUGGUCUGAGAGGAUGAUCAGCCACACUGGAACUGAGACAC
rnacentral:rRNA from 1 species